rnacentral:rRNA from 1 species
AAACGACUCUCGGCAACGGAUAUCUCGGCUCUUGCAUCGAUGAAGAACGUAGCGAAAUGCGAUACUUGGUGUGAAUUGCAGAAUCCCGUGAACCAUCGAGUCUUUGAACGCAAGUUGCGCCCGAAGCCAUCAGGCCAAGGGCACGCCUGCCUGGGUGUCACA